rnacentral:rRNA from 1 species
UACGUAGGGUGCGAGCGUUGUCCGGAAUUAUUGGGCGUAAAGGGCUCGUAGGCGGUUUGUCGCGUCGGGAGUGAAAUCCACUGGCUUAACUGGUGGCUUGCUUUCGAUACGGGCAGACUGGAGGUAUGCAGGGGAGAACGGAAUUCCUGGUGUAGCGGUGAAAUGCGCAGAUAUCGGGAAGAACACCCGUGGCGAAGGCGGCUCUCUGGGACGGUACUGACGCUGAGACGCGAAAGCGUGGGGAGCGAACAGGA